UCAUCAAUUAGAAUCGAGAGUCCAUGGUUUUACUCGUUAAAGAGCUCCGAUGUUGGUUCAUUUCGCGGGCACAGCUCUCCUGUUCCUGACCCCUUCGUGGAAAAAGUUUUGACCCAUCGCCAUGAUCGCUGCUGCGAGCUUUUCGUCGUAGCGGCCGAUCUCUGUCUCCGUCUCUGCGAUUUUGCUUCGUGCGGGAAUGGCGGGCUCGACUUCCUUCAACACAGAAACCCAACUCGUACAAAGCAUCUGUGGACUCAUAAUCAAAGGUCAAGGGAACUGUCCCUUCCACUCGAAGCUCUCUUCGGUUCUCACCUCCGCAAUCAUUCAUCAAGUUCUCCUCAGCUUCUCGCUCCAUUGUCCCAGUCCUUCUCAUUUGUUGGCAUUCUUCAAGAACGUGGAAUCGAUGCCCGGGCACAAGCACUCUUUACAAUCCUCGUGGACGAUGAUUCACAUCCUCACCAAGCACAAACACUUCAGGAGUGCCCAGGACCUGCUCGAGAAAAUCGCUCGAAGAGAUUUCUUGUCGUCCCCGUCAGUUUUGGGAGCUCUGGUGAGGGCACAUGAUGACCCGGAUGCCAAUUCGCAGGUUUUCAGCUGGCUGGUGAUAUUUUAUGCGAAUUCCAGGAUGACCCAGGAUGCGGUUCAAGUGUUCGAGCACAUGAGAGUGUGCGGCCUUAAGCCACAUUUGCAUGCCUGCACUGUGUUGUUGAGUUCUUUGGCGAAGGAUCGACUGACUGAUAUGGUGUGGAAAUUAUACAAGAAGAUGGUUAGGCUCGGGGUUGUCCCGAAUAUUCACAUAUACAACGUGCUGAUUCAUGCUUGUUGCAAGUCUGCAGACACGGAGAAAGCGGAAAAGAUAUUGAUUGAAAUGGAGUCUAAAUGUGUUCAUCCUGACCUCUUCACGUACAAUACGUUGAUAGCGUUGUACUGCAAGAAGGGCAUGCAUUAUGAAGCUCUAUGUGUUCAAGAUAGAAUGGAAAGAGGAGCAGUUAGUCCUGAUAUUGUAACCUAUAACUCUCUUGUGUAUGGACUUUGCAGGGAAGGCAGGAUGAGAGAAGCUGUGAGGCUUUUUAGGGAAAUCAAAGGUGUUUCGCCUAAUCAUGUGACGUAUACAACCUUAAUUGAUGGGUAUUGCAGAAUAAAUGACCUCGAAGAGGCUUUAAGGUUGCGAGAGGUGAUGGUGGCCAAAGGUCUGUAUCACGGUGUUGCAACGUACAAUUCCAUCCUGCGAAAAUUAUGUGAACAAGGUAGAAUGAGGGAUGCCAACAAGCUCUUGAAUGAGAUGAGCGAGCAGAAAGUAGAACCUGAUAAUAUUACGUGCAACACUUUGAUUAAUGCAUACUGCAAGAUAAGGGAUAUGAGGUCUGCAUUGAAAGUGAGGAAUAAGAUGCUCGAGGCUGGACUUAAGUUGGACCAAUUCACGUACAAGGCACUGAUUCAUGGUUUCUGCAAGGUUCAAGACAUGCACAACGCAAAAGAUUUCCUCAUUAGCAUGCUUAAUGCUGGAUUGUCUCCCAGCUACUGCACUUAUUCCUGGCUUAUAGAUGGGUACUGUGACUUAAAUGAGGAAGAGGCGAUACUAAGACUCCCGGAUGAACUUGCUAAGAGAGGUCUUUGUGUCGAUGUUUCUCUGUACAGGGCGCUGAUAAGGAGGUUCUGUAAAAGAGAGAAGAUUGAUUAUGCUGAAAAAGUCUUUUCAAUAAUGAAAGAGAAGGGCAUAUCAGGAGAUAGUGUCAUAUACAGCAGUCUAGCCUAUGCCUACAUGAAAGUGGGGAACACUACAGCCUCAUCAGCCAUGAUGGAUGACAUGUAUAAGAGGAGGUUAAUGAUAACUUUAAAGAUCUAUAGAAGCUUAAGUGCUUCCUGUGUAGGUGAUGAAAACAUCUCAAGGCUCUUUUGGAACGAGGUGGUUGACAGAGGCCUAAUGUCAAAAAGCAGUUUGAAGGAUAUUCAACACUCUGCUUGGCAUUCAUGAAGUAAGAGCAUUAAUUCAUGGUAAAUUGAUUAUUUUUAGCUCUGCAAUGUGAGUUGCUCAAAAAACUGGUAAGUUGUUUAAUGCAGCUGCAAACCUCUAUGGAAAAGAAAAAGGUCCAGUGCAGGUUUUCUGUGAGCUGUCAUUUUAGCUUUGAGAUUGCUUGAAUGCCACAGCCCGAUCAAUUGCACAAGGGUGUCUCCUCAAGAAGCUAUACAUUGUUGCAGUUACUUGUCACAUAAGAGCAACACCGAUGAGUUGGACAUAGGUUGGGACAUCAUCUUGAUCCACAAGACAGACCACUGCCACGCGAAGGUUCUUCAACAAUUUUCUAAU